rnacentral:rRNA from 1 species
GACGAACGCUGGCGGCGUGCUUAACACAUGCAAGUCGAACGGAAAGGCCCUGCUUGCAGGGUACUCGAGUGGCGAACGGGUGAGUAACACGUGGGUGAUCUGCCCUGCACUUCGGGAUAAGCCUGGGAAACUGGGUCUAAUACAGGAUAGGAGCCAUUUUUAGUGUGAUGGUUGGAAAGUUUUUUCGGUGUAGGAUGAGCUCGCGGCCUAUCAGCUUGUUGGUGGGGUAAUGGCCUACCAAGGCGGCGACGGGUAGCCGGCCUGAGAGGGUGGACGGCCACAUUGGGACUGAGAUACGGCCCAGACUCCUACGGGAGGCAGCAGUGGGGAAUAUUGCACAAUGGGCGCAAGCCUGAUGCAGCGACGCCGCGUGGGGGAUGACGGCCUUCGGGUUGUAAACUCCUUUCGCUAGGGACGAAGCUUUUGUGACGGUACCUAGAUAAGAAGCACCGGCUAACUACGUG